rnacentral:tRNA from 1 species
GAGGCUGUAGCUCAGUGGCAGAGCACUUGUCUAGCACAUAUGAGGCACUGGGUUCAAUCCGUAGCACCACA